rnacentral:rRNA from 1 species
CCCUAGUAACUGCGAGUGAAGCGGGAAAAGCUCAAAUUUAAAAUCUGACGGUCUCUGGCCGUUCGAGUUGUAAUCUAGAGAAGUGUUAUCCGCGUUGGACCGUGUACAAGUUUCCUGGAAUGGAACGUCAUAGAGGGUGAGAAUCCCGUCUUUGACACGGACUGCCAGUGCUUUGUGAUAUGCUCUCAAAGAGUCGAGUUGUUUGGGAAUGCAGCUCAAAAUGGGUGGUAAAUUCCAUCUAAAGCUAAAUAUUGGCGAGAGACCGAUAGCGAACAAGUACCGUGAGGGAAAGAUGAAAAGAACUUUGGAAAGAGAGUUAAACAGUACGUGAAAUUGCUGAAAGGGAAACGCUUGAAGUCAGUCGCGUUGCCCGGGAAUCAACCUUGCUUUUGCUGGGCGUACUUUCCGGUUGACGGGUCAGCAUCAAUUUUGACCGUUGGAUAAAGGUCAGGGGAAUGUGGCAUCUUCGGAUGUGUUAUAGCCCUUGGUCGCAUACAACGAUUGGGAUUGAGGAACUCAGCACGCCGCAAGGCCGGGAAUUUAUUCCACGUUCGUGCUUAGGAUGCUGGCAUAAUGGCUUUAAUCGACCCGUCUUGAAACACGGACCAAGGAGUCUAACAUGCCUGCGAGUGUUUGGGUGGAAAACCCGAGCGCGUAAUGAAAGUGAAAGUUGAGAUCCCUGUCGCGGGGAGCAUCGACGCCCGGACCAGACCUUUUGUGACGGAUCCGCGGUAGAGCAUGUAUGUUGGGACCC